AUUUGAUAACAUUCUUCACUCGGCGUUGUGUUUAGUGUCGGUUACUAAAUUAAUCGGAUAUAUAUCGCCCCCAUGUUAAUUCUCAUCAUUAAGAAAGAUCCAUCAGGCUCGUUUACAGCACUCGUUGUGACUGGCAGUCCGAUAAGCUGUACACUGAAUCAUCUCCACAAAAUAGGUUUGCGCGCGUUUCAUAAUAAUUUCUCACGCGUUAAAACGUGAAUGGCAUUAAUAUAAAUGGUGCGUGUAUAUGUGCGGUCUGUAAUCGUCUCUCACUUUGGUUCCGCGUUGAAUUUAUUAUGCCUGGAAGUUCUGGAAUUCGUGUAAAAACCACGUUUGGCUCCUGCAAGGAAUUUCGUAGGAGUAAGAGCUGUUUGCUACUGAGUAAGUAACAUCAAUCGAAGAAUACUGGGAAUCUCAUCAAAUUGUGUGAGUAUUGAAAAUGUUAUUUUUGUAUAUCGAAGUUGAUAUUUGUUUUGAGUCUAGCUAGACGUGACGACAUGGCAUUGUGACGCUCGCAUCAGAUAGUCUCUAUAGAAUGUCUUAUCAUUUGUUUCAGUCGGUUGUGCGCUGUGGUGCCGCGAGCACGUGUUUUGUUCAUCAUUCGAUCUUUGUGGUUAUUUUACGCGUUACUUAAGAUUUUAGAAGUAGUUAUGUAGAAGACUUAGAAUUAGAUGACUCUUGAAUUCAUUUAAGAAUGACGUACUAGUGUGGCGUACAACAAAUAAUUUAUCGCGUGUGAAUUUCUGAACUGAAAGGCUAUCUCCUGUGCGUGCGUGCUGCCGUCGGACACCGGCCGUCGGAUAUCUUCCUGUGCUUACGAAUUCCGAUUGGAUUUAUUGUUCAUCUACACAAUUGUUACCUCGUGAAAUAAACGUCAUAAGCUGCCCAACUGGAAAGAAGUUUGUUACUGAUGCAAGACCAAUUCAAGUAAAUUAUGUCUAUUUUACUAAUAUUUUUAAACAAUUAACAUUUAAUUUUUUGGGUGUAUAGGUUUCAAUAAAUAUUCAAUUCAACAUGUACUCUUGUGAUUGUAUGAGUUUCAAUAAACUAUACUUUUAAUAUUAAA